CACGUAGGGCGCGAGCGUUGUCCGGAAUUAUUGGGCGUAAAGCGCACGUAGGCGGCUUUGUAAGUUAGAGGUGAAAGCCCGGGGCUCAACUCCGGAAUUGCCUUUAAGACUGCAUCGCUAGAAUUGUGGAGAGGUAAGUGGAAUUCCGAGUGUAGAGGUGAAAUUCGUAGAUAUUCGGCGGAACACCAGUGGCGAAGGCGACUCACUGGCCCGAUACUGACGCUGAGGCGCGAAAGCGUGGGGAGCAAACAGG
rnacentral:rRNA from 1 species